UUCAAGCAAGAAAAAUAAGGUUUUAGAUUCACACCGAUCUGAAAUCGAUGCACUGCUGGAUCACACGUUCGAUGAUAUUGAAGCUUAUGUUCCACCACUGAUCAUUAAGAAGAUGUGUAAGAAAACUUGGCCAGUAACACAGCCUGAUCAAAAAGCACGUAAUUUGGCUGUUAAUUUUGCUACUCGCCAAAUUCUAGACGAAAUAGAAAAUCCUGAGGUCCUGAGGAUUAGGAUUUCAGGAAGAAAUGGUAUAAGAGUAACAUCAGCAGUGAAAGAUCUACCACAGAUACAGCAAAGAUUUAAUAUCGUGAUUCAGGUUGAUGCCUCAUUAUAUCCGAAUAUCAGAGGUAUUGAAGAGAAUAUCGCAACACAAUUAGGCUUCUCAUUGAACAUACAGAUGUUAAAUAAAUUCUUGAAAACCACAAGCUUCUUAAUCUUUCUGGAUGACAUUUAUGAAAGCAUCGAUCUGUAUAAAGUGGGGAGUGAGUGGUGGAACUCAAAGAACAUUCAAAAGAUAGUUUGCAGGACUAGAUCCCAGACAGUUUGUCGAAGAAUGGCAGUGGAUCGAGAAAUCAGGUUGGAUGAUCAUCUGUUAUCCUGGGAAUUAUUUUGUAGGAAUGUUGGCAACAUUGUGCAUUCUUCAGGUUUCCAACACAGAGCCACAGAUGUGGUUCAAAAGUGUUCUGGCCAUUUACUUGCUGUUGUUCUAAUGGCAAGAGCUUUGAAUAUGGUCUUCAACGUUAGCACCUGGGAACAUGCAUCUUAUUUGCUAAGCUUGCCGCAUAGAUCUCAGAUGGAAGAUAGAGUUUUGUAUAAUGCACUAGCAUUCAUUAUGGGGCAGUGUUCAGGUUCAGCACAUGAAUGUGUAAAAUACUGUGCAUUUUACAUGGAGAGGGAAGGGGCGAACAAAUUAGAUUUGAUUCAGGAGUGGAUCAGACAUGAGUUAAUCAGCACAUUUGAUGAAGGACAAAAGAUGGUUCGAGGCCUUGUCAGUGCCUUCUUGUUAGAGAGUUCUCAGAAUGGAUAUUCCGUCCGAAUGUGAGAUGAAAUCCAUGAGGUGUUAGCAAAUUCACAAUUUCUUUUGCAAGGUGGAAAGGGUCUUGCUAAGGCACCAACAGAUGAGGCAUGGGAGGAAGCCACGGAAAUCCAUUUGAUGAAUAAUAAAUUUUCUGAGCUGCCAAGGGGUCCAAAUUGUCCCCAACUCUGUGCAUUGUUCUUACAAAAGAACCCUUUUUUGCUAGUUAUUCCUCCAUCGUUCUUUCAACGUAUGCCUAUGCUCCAAAUCCUAGACUUGUCCCAUACUAAAAUAAGAUCUUUACCACAAUCUCUUUAUGGGUUGUCGCAACUGCAAAGACUCUUUCUGAGAGGCUGUAAACUCUUCAUGGAGUUGCCACCUGAAGUCGGAGAACUCAGUAAUCUUAAGAUGUUUGAUCUCGAGGGGACUGAAAUCAUAAGGCUACCUAUGGAUGUUGGAAAAUUGACAAAUUUAACCUGCUUGAAAAUGUCGUUUUAUGGGGAUAAUGACAACAAAAAAGAUAACCAAUACUCAAACAGGAUAAUUCCUCAGAGUGUGAUGUCCAAUCUAUCUCAAUUGGAAUAAUUAAUCAUAGAUGUGAAUCCCGAUGAUAAGCAAUGGAAUGCCAAUGUGAAAGAUUGUAGAGGAAGUGUGCAGCUUAAACCGGUUGGAGGCUCUUCAACUUUACUUUCCAGAAGUUUCACUUUUGAAUAACUUGAUGGAUGGAUCAUCAAUAAACCUCCCAGGAAUGCACUUUAGAUUUACUGUUGGUAACCAUAUGAAUCGCAUAAUAUCUCGACUACCACUUGAAGCUGCAGUUAAAUUUGAAGAACAAGAAAGAUGCUUGAAAUAUGUGAAUGGUGAAGGUGUCCCAACUGAAAUUAAGGAGCUACUCUAGCUUGCUACUGCAUUGUUCCUGGAUCGCCAUUUAACUGCCACAAGUUUAUCUGAGUUUGGGAUUAAAAAUAUGGGGAAUCUAAAAUUUUGUGUAUUAGGUGAAUGUGAUGAGAUUCAAACCAUUAUAGAUGCAUAUGAUGGAAGAGAUGUUGUACUUGGAUCACUAGAGUACUUGAAUCUUCAUUAUAUGAAGAAUUUAAGGAGCAUUUGGAAGGGGCCACUUAUAUUGGGUUCCCUAUCACAUCUAAAAGCUUUGGUGUGGUAUACAUGCCCCCAAUUGACUACCAUUUUUACUUUGAAUCUGUUUCCUAAACUCUAUGAGUUAGAGGAGCUUGUAGUUGAUGAUUGCCCCAAAAUUGAAAGCAUAGUAGUGACUCCUGAUCCUACUGCUACUGAACCAAUGUUGUGGAGGGCAAGGUAUUUAUUCCCAAAGUUGAGGAAGAUAUCACUUCAUUACAUGCCUAAACUGGUCAGCAUUUCCAAUGGUCUACGCAUUUCACCAAUAUUAGAAUGGAUGAGCUUCUAUGAUUGUCCAAGCCUCAAAACUCUUUCCCCAGAGGAAGUUCACAGUAAUGAUUUGAAGGUGAUAAUAGGAGAGGCAAAAUGGUGGAGAGAAUUGAACUGGAACAAAUCAAAAUGGCCUCAGCUACCCAAUCUGGAUGCUAUCUUUCAUCCAAUUGAACAGGACACUUAUUUCAUUACACGUCUAGCAGAAAUUGACGAUCAACUUCAAGCUAGGAUGCAAGAAACAGAGCUUUCUCAACAGUCAGGUUGUUUUUCCAUUCCUCUUUUUCUUCAAAGAUAAAACACUGAUCUCCAUUUUAUCUUACCUAAACUUGGUCAGGUUAUUUUGUUUUGACAUGACUUCUUUAGUUUCAGGAUAAGCUAUGCCUACAUAGACAUUUGAAUGAAGCAGAAAUUCCCCACAACAUUUGUAUUACCUACGUCCAAGUUUCUUAUUCAGCUCUCUCAUUUUUGGUUUUUUUUCUUGUUGAUGAGGGACAGGUCCUGGUGACUCCCUGAAGGCUCCAGCAGUCAAGGGUGGAACAAGCUCAAAGCAGAAGCAAGUUGCUUAGUUUUACCUAUUCUGUACUAGUUAAGCUUGAGCUACGUAUUAUGGCUAAUUUCCCGACAGCGGCUUACUGUCUUAUUCGUUGUUGUUUGUUUAGUUAUUUCAUGUUGUGCUUGGUUGUGGAGAAAAGGAAACUCAGAACCUUACAGAGACAUUCUUUGGAUUAUCAAACCUUACUUUUCUAGUCUCUUUGAAUAAGUGGUGAUGUGAACUUGCUGUAUGCUCUUGAAUUCAAUAUUCGAAAUCACAUCCUUCAGUUUGAUGUGUACUUAUUGUUUGGUCUGAUCAGCAACUGCUUGAGCCUUUAGCAAAGAAUUACUUAUCAAAUUUGAAUUUUCAAGAGGGACAGAGUAGGUUAGAGGAGGGAGCAGUUCAGUUGCAGCUACAUCAAAACUAAUUUAUAUAUGUGCUUUGGUAGAUAUAAGAUCUGCUUGUACUAAAUUCUAGUAGUUGAUUGCUAAUGUUAAUGGUGUGAGGAAAAUUGUGAUUAAAGUUAAUUUUUUUCUUUCUUUCUUUCACUUUUUCUUUCCUUUAACUUUUCCUCUCUAUGUUCUUAGAUUCCCUCAUAUUUUUUCUUAAAUUUUUUGAAAACCGAACAUAGCCUUAGAGGAGCUAUUAAAGAUCUAAAGGACGUUUCAUGAUUGAGUUAGUAGAAAUUGGUAAUCAAGUUCAUGCUUUGGAGUCAAUAAACAUAUGAUAAACAUGUACAAUUUUCUUUGACUAUCAAAUACUUUGAUGUUAUCUUCAUUUGAGUGGUUUGAUAUAUCCACUCGUACUUCAUAACCCAUUUUCACAUAAAUAAAUAGUAAAAAAAUAAAAUAAAAUGCAAGAGAAAGCUCACAUGUGUGGCAAGCUAUCAUACAUACAUGCAUGUUUUACCUAUGAUCAUACUAUCUCUUGAACAAGCAUUCGAUGAAUCCAUCAAGCAUCACCUAUGCCUUAUCAAAAGGAUUUGUUGAGAAUAUUUACUUAAGAUGAAGAAAUCCACAAAUCUUGCUAAGUUUUAUGUAUGAAUUUUAGCUUUGAUCUUCACUUUAGAGCAUGCCUUUGAUGUAGAAGAGUUUAGCCACUAAUGGAGAACUUAGUCAUCAUUCACCUUGUUUGGUAACCAAGAAAAUGGUAGAAAAUAAUGGAAAGUAGAGAAAAAAAGGGAAAAUCUAAAUUCAAAAAUUGAAAACUCAACAUGAUUGUCUUUAGAAUGUUCCAAAAAAAAAAAACAAUAAAUAAAAACUUCACAUUUCUAACAACCAAGCCUAAGUGUGGACCCCGCAUUUCGAUCGCUCGAAUGCGUUUCUCACUCGAUGGCGAAACUCGAUUUUUAUUUUGAAAAAUUGAUUUUUAUUUUAUUUAUUAGAAAAUGACUUGGAGUCGCCACUUAUUUUUGUUUUAUUUUUUUAAAGGGUAAACAAAAUAAGAAAGAAAAACCCUAAGUGUGACUCCUUAUUUUGGAAAAGACGGCCUGUGAAAAACCGGAUCGGGUUCGGGGGUCAGGUUACUUAUCGGGAAGGUACGGUAAAAACCGUAGCACCCCUCUAAGUCCCUAAAGUCGGGUCUCUACUAAUGAGAUGAAGCUAACGUGGCAAUGAUGAGGAAAUCAAUGAGUACUCAGCAUGAUCGCACAUAUGAGAAUCAGUACAUGCAUGGAGAAUUACAAGAAUGGGAGUGGACACGUACCUAGGUGACAAGCCGCCAUACGCUAUCAAGAAAUAGGGUUAGAGCACAGUUAAGAAAUAAUCUCAUGCAUGUCACAGAUCAGAAUAAAUCAAUCAUGCAUGGCAAUCAAAUCAAUCAAUCAGUCAAUCAAUCAUGAAGUCAAGUAUGUAGGGCCCCCACCAAAGCCUGUUCAUUUUUGCAUGAAUUAAUUCCAUAAAUACCAUUAUUUGGAAUUACGGAAUUUAAUUCUUACUUAUUUUAAAAACAUUUGAAAAAACAAAGAAAAUGCAAAAGUGGCUUGCCGAAAAGAAAAUGGCAACCAAAUUUUAUUGAAAAUGAGAUUUUGAAACCUAAAAACCAUAAAGAUGAAAAAUGAGAGAGUUGGAAUUAUUUGAAAAGCUAAAUUUGAGGAGAUAUUUGCAAAAUGUGAUUUGGAGCAAUUAUUUUUCAAAAACAGAGAUGAGAAGACAGGAGAUUAUAUGCAGCCCAAAGAUGAUCAUUUCAGGCCCUUCAGAGUAUGCCUUUAGGGACUCUGAUUUGAGAAACUGAAGCUGCAUCUGUAAACCAUGGUUGCCAGCACUGACACCCUCAAGGCAUUCAGAGUCGGAUGAAAUCUCUCCUUUGAAUGAUAAUUCCGAAAUGGAAACUGGGCUUGGCUAAUAAGCCUCCUCUAAGCUCAUAAAAGAUUAAGGGUUUGUUCCGGUGCAGCGUGAGGAAACUGAACCUCCACCGGAGGAUCCAAUUGAUGCUUCUUCUAGAAUUGGAGCCAUUGAGUCACAGCCUAGCAGAAUCUCCAUCUCUCACCAACAAGAUGUCGGCUAUUGGUUUGGACUGCUGCUUAUUGGUGGUUCCAAACGACAAGCCAAUAUCCUCAGUUUCAAAAUCAGCCGCAAUGUUGGCAACGACACCUCAGGAACCCCAUAACUUUGUUCAGACAGAUUAUUCUCCUCAAUUUUGUGCUUCAGUUCACUCAAGAUCACACAAACUUCUUGUGCAGCACAACUAUUUCUCUGAAUCCAAGAAAGGGAUGGACGUAGACUUCUGAGAGCCUAGUCUUGAGUUUCUGGGUCCUGAACGUACUUGCAACCUCCUUGAUGUUUUUGUAAGCUCAUCUUUUACACUUCCCGGAACAAGUCGGCGAAGAGCAAUGCAAGGAUGAUGGGAUAGGCCUGACUCCUGAAGCUUCUAGAACUGAGUCUUCCCACUUGAGAUUCUGAAAACAGUCUCCUCUGAGAAAGGAGUUAACCAAAGCUGAAGGAAACGGUUUGAGGUGUUUCGGCUGAUGAUGAAGGUUGGGUACUGAUGGAAAUGAUACGAAAGAUAACAAAUAAGGUUGGUGAUGGAUAUCAGGGGGCAUGAAGAGCGAACAGUGGCGUCAUUCCUAUGUAUACGGGUAAGAAAUGGGUAAGAAAUAGGCAUUGACAGAUGAGGGUCUAAAGAAAGGACAUAGGUGUAAUGAUACGGCUAGGGAAAGUGGAAGUGGGUAUGAAUUAUGGCUGUUCUAGCAGACUUUUCAAACCGUCGUCCAAAUGAGUUUGCAAAAGGUGGUGAAUUCAAAACAUCCAUGCAAUGAAUAGUUGACUGAGAAGUUCACAAAAGAGGCGAAGUGAGUUCCACGAGUCCUAAGGAUCUACUGGCCUUCCACUCAAAUCAACAUGUGUCCCAUCCAUAGCAUCACCACAGGUUGGAUCAGGAUAAUGCAACAUCAAACGUCCCGAACUAUCAGUAGUUGUUGCACUAGUAUAAACUCAGGCAGCUACCCCAUCUUCUCUUCUGAACCGUAGUCGACUGGACUCGACUCUCGGCCGUGACAAUUGCGUUCGCCGCUGCGUUCAUGGUCUCUACGCUAUUAUUCACACUUAUCAUCUUCCUUAUAAGUCACAAAAUCCCCAUAUUCUCAACUCAAACCUCCUCCGGCACUGAAACUUCUAAUUCCGGCUAUUUGUGCUUAAAACUCACUAUAAGAAGCAGCAAGUUUUCCGACGAGAUUCCGAUAUGGAGCUGUGAGUCCGAAGAGAACCAUUCUGCUUUCUGGUUUGGAGAGUUUUUGGUCGGAUUCGUCAUGGGUAAGAGCAUCCACAGCAACAUUAUUAGGAUUAACAAUCCCAUUCACCGCCCCGAUACAACCCAUACUGACCAUAAACCUACUGGCCAGAGAUUCAACGCCGUCCCCAUCUCUCAUUACAUAGCUCAUCAAAUAAUUGCAGUCUAGAUCCACUUGAGACUCGUCUUUAUGAAUUACAGAAGCUCCAAAGUUACGUCCAAUGCUACGCGUAAGCUGGUGGCACAACCUCUUUAUGGAACAGAGGAUGAUGAUCUUAAAAUCCCGUUCUUGGGAUCUGUGAGUCUGUUCCAAGCGACUGCUGAUGGAUUGACACUCAACCAUAGCACUUGAGGGACCCCCCACAUGGCGUAAAGUAGUCCACUUCCAGUCUGUUGCACCUCUAAAUUAUGGGGUUCCGCAAAUUCAGCUUGUAAAUUCAGCUAGCUCAGUCUCCUCAAAUCCUGGGUUGACUUGUAAAGCCUCUUCAACUUUUUCAUAUGUUUCAGUGACUAGAUUACCUUGCUCUUUCAUUUGAACGGCUCCAACCUCUAACUCCUUGAUAGGCCACUGCAAAUUUUAGUGACUUUUCUUCACCAGAUAUGCACUGCCCGCAAUAUCCACUUGUGAAUCUGUGAAGUUACCAAACGCAAGAGACCCUAUUCAUUUGAUUCUCAAAACCCAUAAGACAUACCCGCCAGCACAUGAGGAUUAGGAAUUGGUUUCAUCAAGCAUCUCUGCUUCUUCAGGCUGGCACUUUUCCAAACAGCCAUGCGCAUUUGCUUGGAUCACAACUGUCGAACAUUCCGAGCAUUAAGCUAUGUGCUUACAAAUAUGACAUGAGGGAAAUUCCUCCACCAUCCAUACAUGUACUAACAGCAAACAGUAGCAUCCUCGGUACCCAUACAUUAAUACUUGACCCUCAAAUCUGAAGGAUAUUCUGAAUAUGAAGCGGGUUGUUUCCUUAUGAGCUUUCCGGUCUUCUCAUGCCAUGAGGAAGAAUUAUUUAAACGGUGGUCAGGGGAAUGAGUUCAUAGGGUGAUGAAAUAAAUGGGUUUGGGGAAAAUGAAUGAGGAACGGGUUAGAUGGCAUUGGGUUUGGUGGAUGAAGCAUGGAAGAUAAGAUAGUGUAUGAUAGACAGCCGUGCAUGCAUGAGACUCCACGUACGUGACAAGAUCGAAGGCAAGCGGGUGAUGAGAGAAUGAUACAAAGGGUAAUGGAAAGUGAUGAAGGAAAGUGGGUUCAAUGAUAAAACGGCUGCAGCAAGGGGCAUAUUGAGUGAGUGAGAGUGAUGACAUAGUGCAUGGUGGUGUAGAGAGAGAAAGUAGAUUAUUGGUGAUGGGUAUGAGGGCAUGAGGACUGAUCAAUGGGCAUGACGAGGUCAGAUAGGUGGAGCCACGCUGGUGAAAUUGUAAUGGACAACAUCCUGCUUAUCCAAGCACUUCAUCUUGCCAAUGGUGGGUGUUAAUGAACCUUAGGUAAUUGGAGCUCACAUCAAACAUAGUCACCAAUGCUGUGGUUGCCAUUGACGUUCCCUGUAGCUUUCACCUUCUUGUUAAUUUCUGCAUGCCUAAUUCCAUCAUUAUCAACCUUGAAAUCGUGCUUCCUCUCAAUGCCUAUGUUGUCUUAAUUUUCAAGACACGAUAGCAAGAUCAUUGGAUACUUCAAUCACGACAGUUGGGUGGGCACUUGCAGAACUAGAGAGCUUGGAGUACCCGGACAGGGGUGUGAAAGAAACCUUGAGACUCCAACCAGUGGUUCCUCAACUCAUCCCUCAUAAGUCCCUGGAAGACUGUACAAUCAAUGGCUUCCACAUCUCUCAAAAGUCCCGAGUCAUGGUAAGCGUAUAUGCCAUAGGGCAAGACCUUAAUGUAUGGACUGACACAGAGAAGUCCUUCCCUAAAAGGUUCAUUGGAAGCAGUAUAGAUCUCCAUGGAUGCAACUUCGAACUCAUCCCAUUUGGCUCAGAUAGAAGAGAAUACCCAGGAAACGUAGUGAAAAUUCUCCAUGUUGGCUUAAUGAAGUUGAAAGCCAGCUGAAAACUAAGACUCCACACAUUCACCGAGAUUUUUGAACAAACAUCAUGCUGCUCUCCUUAGUAACUAACACACUCAAAGACCAUCAAUGUGCUGAUUUGCUUUCUAAAGAAUGAUCAAUAUUUUCUCUGCCCCCUCGUAUUAUCAACUUGCUGCAUUUCUCUGAUUCCUCUUACUGCUUUACCAAAAGCCUUCGUUUAUAACAUAGUGAUCCAGAAACCUUCCCCAUCAUUCACCUUUGCAUUGACCAAACUUUCCUUACUUCAGUUUAGAAUCACCAUUAUCAUGGAAUAGCAUUCCUCUUCGGGCAGAGAUGGGAAAUCUGAGGCAUGACAGGGAUGGGUACCAGGAACAGGGGAAGGUGGAGAAACAGAGCAUAAAAUAAAAUGAGUAAAUAAAGGAAGCCUCAGAAAAUUCACUUCAUAGGUCAUCAGUGAAUCCUCCGAGCAGGUGAGUAAGACAACCAGGGGCAUGAUUCCUGGGCAUUUCAUCAACACCAUAGAGACACAGCAAAUUCAAAAUGGACAAUGGCAAGCAUGAAUGCAGGGUUACAUCUCAACAAACAAAUUGGUGGCCUUCAUUACCCACCCAAACAACAUAGUGAUGCGUAAAACAAUAGCAGCCUGAGGAAAUUAAACAGUGAAUAACUAAAAACGUGAGGAUGGUAAUAUCCAUACCUGAGUUCUUCAAGAUGAUGAUGAUCCAGUUUCUGCCCUCUCCUCAAAUGGCAGAAGAGGCGUCCUCUCCAACUUCAAAAAAACAAUGGAAUCUCUCCUCUCCUCAAAUCUCUCUGAAUCCUUCUUUUUUUCUUCUCACUCAAAAGCUCUCUGCAGCCCCCCCAAAAACCAGCUUUUUCCUUCCCUUUACCCCAAAAUAACCAAACAAAAGCUCCUCCUCUCUAAAAGAUCUCUGCAGUCCCCUCUAAAAGCAACCACCUCCUACCUGCAGGAGACGCUCCUCCUCUAACAGAAACGCACUCCUCCAAUAACAGACUCUGAAUCCCCUGCAUAUCCUCCAAUAGCUGUUACUUUCUCAUUCGUCCAUCAGCUCCACUAAGCUGAUUCCACAGCCACCAACCAGGAGGCAACACUUGGCUUUCAAAGAGCCCUCCAGCUGGCAAGUGAGCUGCAAAAAAUGAAAGAAAAAAAAAGUGCCCCUAAUAGGGGUCUACACUAAGUGUUCAAACUUGGUCAAAAAAAUUAUACCAAAUAUCAUAUCUCACUAGUUUGAGCUAACAAUAGGCAAAAAAAUGUCUGGUAUCAAAAUGCUCUAAUACCACUAUACAGAUUUCGAUAGCAUCUCAACAAUCAUCUUCAGAAUCCAAGCAAGCCUUCCAUUAAGAACUUCAAUUUUUCUCCGACUUCAUAUGUAAAAUUUGGGAAAUAGCAUCAUUCAAAGGGAUUGCAUGUUCAUCACUUUGUCCUACCUUCCAAACCUCAUACUUUGAAGCACCUGCAUUAAUUUCACUCCAACGCCUCAAUAAUGGCAAUGAAAAUGGCCCAGGUCUCUCACCAAGAGGACUUAGACAGUGUCAUGCUUCACUUUCAAGCUUAGAUGACCUUUGUUUCUUACUUGCAACCUUGAGACUCUUCUCAUCAUAACCAUCAUCUCUCAUCCUAGAUUGGUUAUGACGAAUCUCAAAAGAUUGUUUCUUUUCUUCAACAACUACAAAUAAAUGAAAAGAUGCUUGAUUAAACUUGUACUUGAAUCUAUGAACUAAAAAAAUGGUCAAAAUCAAAUUAAAAAAAAAAAUAUAAGAGAAUUUCAAUUUUUAAAAGUCUAUAAAUAAAGAAUUUUUUUAAAAUAUAUAUCUUAAUUAAUGCAUGCCAUGUGGUCCAACCUCUAAGAGAAAAAGACUUCAUGUAGGAUUUUUGGCAUAUAUAAAUGCACAUACACAAAUGUAUAUACAUGUGUACAUAUACAUGUGCAUAUUAAAUUAAAGGAGUUUAAAGAUAUUUAUAACCAGAUAAUUUCUAUAAGAUUACUUCCCUACAUCAACCAUGCAUAUUUUUAAGAGCAUAUUUUUACACUUUCUCCACAUAUGAUUUAAAACAAUCAUUUUUUAUUUUUUUGGAAAAUGUAUAUUUUGAUUGCAAAUCUAAUUUACUAAUUGUAAAACAUUUAAUUAUUAAGUGAAUCAACAGAAUCAUUAGAAUUUUUUUUUUCUGAUUUUAACCAAAAUCAAUUUUUUGGACACUCGUAAAGUAGAAAGAAAUUUCAUUACCUUCAAAACUAUCCUUUGGAUAUUCAUUGGGCCCAUGAAUAACAUUGCUCAAGAGGAUUGCCUGAUCUUUGCAUUCUUCUACCUUCCAAACCUUAUAUUUUAAAGCGUAAGGAUUAACAUCACUCUAGCUUUUAAGCAUAGGCAAUGAAAAACGCCCUGCACUUUCACCAAGAGGACCUUGGCAACGCCAUGCUUCACAUCUAGGCCUAGUCUUUGUUGUUUCUUUCUUGUUUCAUCCUUGUGAUCCUGUUAGUUGUAAUUUUUAUUCGAGUCAAUAUAUUGAGCUCCUAAUGGCUCUUGCCUUUAAGGGAAAAAUAAGGCUUCAUUUCACAUAGAUUUAUUUGAAGACUUACAUCAAAUCGAUCCAUGGGAGUAUGAGUCUAAAUUGCUAAAGCUGCUUCCAAGAUUAUAAACUAGAUUACAAACUAAAAAAGAAACAUAAACUAAUUAAAGAAAAAACAUGCAAAACACUUUCGUUAAUAGAGGACUCAAAUUCUACAUUCUUAACCUUUCAAUAACUCCUUCUAUAGGGGAGUCCGAGCUGGAACUCAAACCUCCUAAUAAUUACUUACCAUAUUUAUUAGUCACAAUUUAAAUUUUUCAAAGGAAUCCUUCAGCUUUUAUAGGAUCAACUUUUUUUUAGAAUCUUGUUCAGGUUUUAUCGAGAAUCUUGUUAAACUUUUUUAGAAAAUUUUGUUCAAGUUUUGCAAGGAAUCUUAUUAAGCUUUUUUAAAUAAUCUUGUUCAAGUUUGGCGGAAUCUUAUUCGACUUUCACAAAGAAUUCAGUUUUUAUAAGGAAUCUUUCAACUUUUACAAUAAAUUUUAUUCAGCUUUUGCAAGGAAUUUUCAUCAUUUUUUUUAAGAAAUCCUAUUUAGUUUUUCAUUAGAGUAUGGGUUUCUUAGGUGGUCCCCUUCAAAAUCUUCCUAGUCAUCCCAGUCAUCAAAAUCCUCAUUAUCAUAAUAGCAACGAAUGGAUCAUGUCUAUAAUUGAAUAAGCGCUCUAUGAAUAUCAUAGUCAUAAAAUGUGGUUAACUAGCAAAAUUUAUUUUAUUAAUUGUCUUUUAAAGACUAGAUUUUUAUGAGCUUCCUUUUGAUACUUUGGCAAUGGGGAAAUAAAUUUUCAAUGGGUAAAGAGCAAUGCCCUUUUCAUCUCUAUGGCUAUGAUCCAAUAAGGUCUUACCUUAUUAUUAUUCAUUAAGGCACAAGAUGAAGAUGACCUAGACGCACUUCAAAAUAUUGAUGCUUUUCAUUAAUAAUUCCAUCAAAAUACUAUUAGUCAUCAUGAUAUAAAGAAAAAAGACCAAAAUUAAAUUAAAAAGAUAAGAGUAUUUCAAAAUUUUAGAGUCUAUAACUAGAGACAAAAAAUAAGAAAAAGAAAAACAAAAUGUAUCGUUCACCCGCAUGUGUGUGUCAUAUGGAUUUUGGACAUGUAAGUAAACAUAUGUAUACACACACAUACAUAUAUUUUUAUUGUGAAAAUUGUUAGUAAAAUUUUUAUUUUGAAAAUUAUUGUUCCGAAAGUGCUAAGAAUUUUCACUACCAAAAUUAUUUAUUUGAUUAUUGUUCAUUGGUCGAUUGUUGAGUUGAUUGAAAGUACCUUGAUUUUUCUUUUAAUUAAUUGAUGUUUUGAACUACAAUAUUUGCUGAGUCUUGUAAGGAACACCAUUUUUUAUAUCUAAAUAACUCUCUUGAAUCAAUAACAUACGUUUAAAUUCUCCUAUCCUAAGUUCAAAAAUACCUAUAGAAUUUUAAAUUCUCCUACAUCAAUUUCACCAAUACCUCCAGGUUUAGUGCUGAUAGAUGUCACAAAGGAUUCAAUCUCAAGACUUGAACCACUUUGGAUAUGCUUGAUUUGCUCUUCCCAUGGUACCAAAUGGCCAAUUUUUACCAAGUAUCUAGUCAUUAAAAGUGUACCUUGUUUUGUAGAUUGAAGUUGAAUUCGAUGCUGGCUAAUUGAGAGGUGAACAACUUUUCCAAGUAGUCCCAAGCUGCAAACGAGGCUUAAUGGUAAUGAGAAAAUCUAUAAUUCAGAAUUGUCUGAUCAUGCCCUUGCCGUCGCAGAUAGAGGAUUAAUAGUAUUGAAGUAUGGGAGAGUUUUUGACAUGAUCUUCUAAAUCAUACUUCAUUUAUUGUGAGAAUUUGAGAUACCCAUAAUAGAUAACUUGUGUUGAUCAAGCUUAACACUGAGAAAAUGGUCAAGAGGGUUUGAUGGAAGCUAGGGUGGCUAGGCUAAUUGAAUUUCAGCAGCUAGAUUAUCCUAAACAUUGAAGAAGACUGGGAUGUUUGAUCUCUUGUGAAUGAUGCCAUUUUUAAGCUAAUGAAAUUGAAAACUGAAAAAUACAAAAGUUGAAAUAGAAUUAUCUAAAGGAUUGCUAAACUAAUUGAUCCUAAUCCCUGGAAACAAGUCAAUACUCAUCAAGCUUCAACUUGGAAGUUUUCCUGGCCACGGCGAAGUGUGAAGCUCGAGGUCAAAGGUAGGUGGAUGCCGGAGGAAAAAGGGCAAAGUGUGAGGCGUAGGUUGAUGCCGGGCGUUGGCUGUAGUUUCAGCCUGAAACAGAGAAAGGCUAUAGAAAGAAAAAAUGGAAGAGUAACACCUGGGAACAGAGGAAUUAAGACAGUCCACCAAAAAACAGAGGAACCCUUUUUCUUUGACUUUGUAUUCUCGGUUCUGAUAUUUUUUGUUGUACAAUCACUAGAUUUCAAACCAGAUGCAAAGAGAUUUAACUUGAGUAAAUCUCUCCACGUGGAAGCAUGACAACCACUCAAAAUAACCUAACACAGCAUAGGCACAUUAUGUUACACCGGGGGAAGAAGAGCAAAGUGUGAAGCGUCGGUGGAUGCCGGAGGAAGAAGGGCAGAGUGCGAAGCUUGAGAUCAAAGGUAGGUGGAUGACAAAGGGGUAAUUCAAUGGCCUGAGAAAGUAGUACACCCACCCCCUAUCGAUCAUCCCUUCCGGUGGUAGUGAGGGAUGGACCCCAAGAGGAGAAAGACCCAAGACUUUGCGGACAAGGCUGAUUCCACUGCUACGGAUACUGGGAAUUCGGGUAUAGCGGAGUCCCAAGCCACUGAUUCGAAGGCCGAGCCUGUGGAACUCAAUGCAGAAACCCGAAAGAGUCAUUACCCCAAACUGUAAGUGCUGCAUGUUUUCACUUGUGUCAUUUUAUCAGUAUCACCAUUGUUAUGGCCAUGAAUUUUAGUCCUGAAUCUAAUUUAUCGGAAUUUGGAUUCCUGGGGGCGACUGAUCAGUAUGGAAAAUAGGAAAAGCACUCUGAAUGGUUUUCGUGAGCAUCACGGGCUUCCCCGAAGGCAGCGUGAGCAGGGGCGGCUUGGUCAGCAGUGGUGGAGCAUGUAUGUAUUUUUAUCACUGUAUAUAUAGGGAGAGAGGUCUAGUUGUCCCCCCCCCCCACACACAUAUAGAGAGAGAAGUCUAUUUGUCGUAAAAGUGACUGAAAGGGUAUAAUUAUAAAUUUGACAUCAAUCCAACAACAGCUCACAAAGCAUGCCAUUGAUCUCACGGGCUACAUCAGCUCACAAAGCAUGGACCAAACUGGCCACCAUCUAUGUCAAUCAAUCUCGGACAAGAAUUAUGGACCUUAAAGAUUACCUUGCUGAGGUUACAAAAGGCUCAAAAUCUGUCAGAGUAUAUGCAAAUAGUCCAAAUUAUCAAAGAUGAACUGGCCAUCAUUAAUGUUCCUAUUGAUGAAAGUGAUCUUACCAGUAGAGUACUUCGCAACCUUAGUUUAGAUUUCAAAGAAAUAUCUGUUGCCAUACUAUCAAGAGACACAUCAAUAACCUUUGCAGAGCUCCAUAACAGACUUGUGGAACAUGAAGGUUUCCUUAAGCUCGAGGAAAAGCAUUGAGGAAUUCUAUCGCUACUAACUACUCUCAACAUAAUGACAAUUACAAGUUUUGUGGCAAUCAAUUCUUUAAUAAGGACAAUCAUUCUUCUUCUCAGAUCAACAACCAUGUUAUUGGUGCUUAAUCUUUCAGCGCCAAUCAGAAUCGACAUCACCUAAAUAAGAACUAGAAGCCUCAAGUCUUGCCAAUACAAUGAUAAGGCAUGUCAUACAGCAAAGCAAUGCUACAAAAUUUGAAAGCCUCCCAACCCCAUGGCUUAAAUAACUAAAAUUGGUUAAUGAAAUACUGAAGCAUCUCAUCACAUUACUUUCAACCUCAAUAAUCUGUUAAUCCCACUUAGAACAUAAUGAAGGUGAUGAUAUUUUGUUGGGCAACGGUAAGAGCAUUCCUAUAACACACAUAGGUUCUGUUUCUUUAAAAACUCCUUCCAAAAACUGUACCUCAAUUUUCUUCGUAUUCCUUUCAUUAACAAAAACUUAGUAUUCAUUUCUUAACUUUGCAAACACAAUAAUACAUAGUUGAAUUUUUUUCCCAGUUGCUUUGUUGUUAAGGAUAUGAGCACAGGGGCACUACUGAUAUGAGGAACAAACAAGGGAAAUGUCUAUUUGUGGCCUUCAACCUGACCUAUCUGCCAUUAUCACCCCACAAGCUAUGACUGGAAUAAGAAUGUAGAAUCACAACUGGCAUAGACUUGUAAGACAUCCAUCCACCAAAGUCUUUUCUCAUCUUUGUUCUUCCAAACUUUUACUUUUCUCCUCCAAUAUCACAAGCUCUAUGCAUUUUCACUCUUGCUCAUGCAAUAAAAAUCAUAAAUUAUCUUUUGGUGUCUAUUCUUUCUAGCUCCAAACCCCUAAACUUGAUUUAUAUUCUUUCUAGUAAGAGAAUAUGAAUAAGGGAUCAAGUAAAUGGGGAUUAUAUAUAAUCGAUGAAUAGAAAAUACUUGUAGACAAACAAAAUUGGAUUCAAAGGAAAUCAAUAAAUGGAGAGGCUAGGGUUUUUUGAAUCAAGCCAAGGUGUAAUUGAUCGAUUUGAUACAAGCUCUAUUAGAUCUCCCUAUUAAGUGAGCUCAGUUGGAGAAUAAUUCUAUAAAAGCUAUAAUUUGAACACAAUAGCAAUUCAGUAGUCCUACAACUUUGUAUCGAGUUUAUGCGCAAUGAAUGCAGUAACAAGGAAACUUCUCUCUCUUUACAUCUCCAUUUUGGAGCCAAGCUAGCCCACCAAAACUAUUGCCUAGGACACUUAGGACCUCCACAUUAAGCCUUAAGAAGAUUAGAAGGAACUUAGUUGCAUACUACAUGUGUCAUGCACCCCCAAAAUCUAUCUUUAAAUAAACACACACACAAAAAUAAUAAAUAAAUAAAUAAAGGGGGGAAAAAAAAAGAAGGAAAGUUAUGUUGUCAACUUUCACACAAACUAGUUUGAUAUUGCUAAUGACAAUUUGGUGCAUACUUAUUACAAGAGUUGAACUAGAAUGAUCCUCUGAAACUGCAUUCUGAACUCAUUCUAUUGGUUUUUCUUUUUUUCUUUUUUUCUUUUUUCCUUUUUUACCUUAUAAUUUCUGCAGAUACCACCCCCUUAAGAAAUUGAAGGAGUUGAAUAGAAAGAAAGAUAUUGUGUGCCUUAUCUUAUCAUAUCCUCCUAUGAAUUCAGCUAACAAAGAGAGACACAAGAACUGGGUUCGGGAUGUUUUGAAGAUAAAUCACAAACUAAGGGAAAUGGAAACAUUUUCAAGCCAGCAAAAGACGAGUUUUUCAGAGCUAUCUUCUGAAAUCACUACACUGCUGGAUCAUUCACUCGAUGAUAUUGAAGCUUAUGUUCCACCAAUGAUCAUUGAGAAGAUGUGUGAGAAAACUUUGCAAGUAACAGAGCCUGAUGAAAAAUUACGUAAUUUGGCUGUUAAUUUUGCUACUCGCCAAAUUCUAGAAGAAAUAGAAAAU
rnacentral:lncRNA from 1 species